rnacentral:rRNA from 1 species
GGGGAAUAUUGGACAAUGGGCGCAAGCCUGAUCCAGCAAUGCCGCGUGAGUGAUGAAGGCCUUAGGGUUGUAAAGCUCUUUCGCACGCGACGAUGAUGACGGUAGCGUGAGAAGAAGCCCCGGCUAACUUCGUGCCAGCAGCCGCGGUAAUACGAAGGGGGCUAGCGUUGUUCGGAAUUACUGGGCGUAAAGGGCGCGUAGGCGGCCUUGUUAGUCAGAAGUGAAAGCCCCGGGCUCAACCUGGGAACUGCUUUUGAUACUGCAAGGCUAGAGUUUCGGAGAGGAUGGUGGAAUUCCCAGUGUAGAGGUGAAAUUCGUAGAUAUUGGGAAGAACACCGGUGGCGAAGGCGGCCAUCUGGACGAACACUGACGCUGAGGCGCGAAAGCGUGGGGAGCAAAC